AGUGAACGCUGGCGGUAGGCCUAACACAUGCAAGUCGAACGGCAGCACAGUAAGAGCUUGCUCUUACGGGUGGCGAGUGGCGGACGGGUGAGGAAUACAUCGGAAUCUACUUUUUCGUGGGGGAUAACGUAGGGAAACUUACGCUAAUACCGCAUACGACCUACGGGUGAAGGCAGGGGAUCUUCGGACCUUGCGCGAUUGAAUGAGCCGAUGUCGGAUUAGCUAGUUGGCGGGGUAAAGGCCCACCAAGGCGACGAUCCGUAUCUGGUCUGAGAGGAUGAUCAGCCACACUGGAACUGAGACACGGUCCAGACUCCUACGGGAGGCAGCAGUGGGGAAUAUUGGACAAAGGGCGCAAGCCUGAUCCAGCCAUACCGCGUGGGUGAAGAAGGCCUUCGGGUUGUAAAGCCCUUUUGUUGGGAAAGAAAAGCAGCAGGUUAAUACCCCGCUGUUCUGACGGUACCCAAAGAAUAAGCACCGGCUAACUUCGUG
rnacentral:rRNA from 1 species